UCAAUAAGCGGAGGAAAAGAAACCAACAGGGAUUCCCCUAGUAACGGCGAGUGAAGCGGGAACAGCUCAAAUUUGAAAUCUGGCCCUUGGGUCCGAGUUGUAAUUUGCAGAGGAUGCUUUUGGUGCGGUGCCUUCCGAGUUCCCUGGAACGGGACGCCUUAGAGGGUGAGAGCCCCGUACGGUUGGACACCAAGCCUAUGUAAAGCUCCUUCGACGAGUCGAGUAGUUUGGGAAUGCUGCUCAAAAUGGGAGGUAUAUUUCUUCUAAAGCUAAAUAUUGGCCAGAGACCGAUAGCGCACAAGUAGAGUGAUCGAAAGAUGAAAAGCACUUUGAAAAGAGGGUUAAAUAGCACGUGAAAUUGUUGAAAGGGAAGGAUUUAUGACCAGACUUUUUCUAGGGGGAUCAUCCGGUGUUCUCACCGGUGCACUUCCCCUAGUUGAGGCCAGCAUCGGUUUCUGUCGGGGGAUAAAAGCUUUAGGAAUGUGGCUCCCUCCGGGGAGUGUUAUAGCCUGUUGCAUAAUACCCUGACGGGGACCGAGGUUCGCGCAUUGCAAGGAUGCUGGCGUAAUGGUUAUUAAUCACCCGUCUUGAAACACGGACCAAGGAGUCGAACAUUUGUGCGAGUGUUUGGGUGUUAAACCCUCACGCGUAAUGAAAGUGAACGGAGGUGAGAGCCUUUCGGGGUGCAUCAUCGACCGAUCCUGAUGUCUUCGGAUGGAUUUGAGUAAGAGCAUUAAUGUUCGGACCCGAAAGAUGGUGAACUAUGCGUGGAUAGGGUGAAGCCAGAGGAAACUCUGGUGGAGGCUCGCAGCGGUUCUGACGUGCAAAUCGAUCGUCAAAUCUGCGCAUGGGGGCGAAAGACUAAUCGA
rnacentral:rRNA from 2 species